ensembl:rRNA 5S_rRNA 5S ribosomal RNA
GGAUGAGAUAUUAUUUGCUUGGAGACAAGCUGAUCUCAUCUGAUCUUAGAAGAUAAGCAGGAUUGGGAUUGGUUAUUACCCAGAUGGGAGACUGCCUGGGACUAUCUAGUGCUGUAGGCU